GGAAGGCAGCAGGCGCGUAAAUUACCCAAUCCUGACUCAGGGAGGUAGUGACAAGAAAUAACAGACCGGAGCCUCUGGUUCCGGGAUUGCAAUGAGUACAAUUUAGACUCCUUAACAAGUAACAAUUGGAGGGCAAGUCUGGUGCCAGCAGCCGCGGUAAUUCCAGCUCCAAUAGUGUAUAUUAAUGUUCCUGCAGUUAUUCGAUGCUCGUAGUUGGAUUUCUGGAGGCUGAGACAGGAGGGCAGCCAAGGUUGUCGCCAGUCUCUUCCUUCAUCCGCCUGUUAACGUUGUCCGGGAUUUAUUUCUCGGCUUCGGGCUCAGGUACUUUUUUUGUUUUACCCUUUCUUUAUAUUCAUUUAUUUAUCUUUAUUUUUUGAGCAAAUUAUAGUGUUUCAGGCAGGCGUGCGCCGGAAUACAUUAGCAUGGAAUAAUCGAAUUGGACCGUGUAUUCACUAUGUGAAUUCUUCCUUAUUUGUUGGUUCUAAGGACACGGAUAUGAUUAAUAGGGAUAGUAAUUUUCAGGGGAGGCAUUAGUAUUUAAUUUCCAGAGGUGAAAUUCUUUGAAAUAUUAAAGACUAACUUAUGCGAAAGCAUUUAUUUUGCCAAUAAUGUUUUCAUUAAUCAUUGAACGAAAGUUAGGGGAUCAAAGACGAUCAGAUACCGUCCUAGUCUUAACCAUAAACGUUGCCGACUAGGGAUCGGAGGGCGUGCACAUUCCGCCUUCGGCACCUUACGAGAAAUCAAAGUCUUUUGGGUUCUGGGGGUAGUAUGGUCGCAAGGCUGAAACUUAAAGGAAUUGACGGAAGGGCACCACCAGGAGUGGAGCUUGCGGCUCAAUUUGACUCAACACGGGAAAUCUUACCAGGUCCAGACAUAGCGAGGAUUGACAGAUUGAUAGCUCUUUCUUGAUUCUAUGGGUAUUUUUGGUGGUGCAUGGCCGUUCUUAGUUGGUGGGUUGCCUUGUCAGGUUGAUUCCGGUAACGAACGAGACCUCAGCCUGCUAAAUAGUCACGUCUACCUCGGUAGGCGCCUGACUUCUUAGAGGGACUAUUGGCGUUUAGCCAAUGGAAGUGUGAGGCAAUAACAGGUCUGUGAUGCCCUUAGAUGUCCUGGGCCGCACGCGUGCUACACUGAUACGUACAACGAGGUAUAUGCAUUUAUGCAUCUUUGCUGCUCCGAAAUAGACACAGCUAAAUCUUCUAAAAUACGUAUCGUGCUGCGGAUAGAUCGUUGAAAUUAUGGAUCUUGAAGGUGGAAUUCCUAGUAAGCGCAGGUCAUCAACCUGCGUUGAUUACGUCCCUGCCCUUUGUACACACCGCCCGUCGCUCCUACCGAUUGAAUGAUCCGGUGAAGUGUUCGGAUUGCGUCGACGAUGGUGGUUCGCCGCCGUCGACGUCGUGAGAAGUUCAUUGAACCUUAUCAUUUAGAGGAAGGAGAAGUCGUAACAAGGUUUCCGUAGGUGAACCUGCGGAAGGAUCAAU
rnacentral:rRNA from 1 species